AGAUUGAACGCUGGCGGCAGGCCUAACACAUGCAAGUCGAGCGGCAGCACGGGUACUUGUACCUGGCGGCGAGCGGCGGACGGGUGAGUAAUGCCUAGGAAUCUGCCUGGUAGUGGGGGAUAACGCUCGGAAACGGACGCUAAUACCGCAUACGUCCUACGGGAGAAAGCAGGGGACCUUCGGGCCUUGCGCUAUCAGAUGAGCCUAGGUCGGAUUAGCUAGUUGGUGGGGUAAUGGCUCACCGAAGGCGACGAUCCGUAACUGGUACUGAGAGGAUGAUCAGUC
rnacentral:rRNA from 1 species